ensembl:lncRNA
AAUAAGUUUAAUUAGUCGGCUAUUGCGAUAGGAGGAUUUGAUAUCGGCACGCGCCUAGCUUUCACAGGGUUGAGUUCAGGGAAAUAGCUUUACUGCCCGUACACUCUCAGAAGCCAAAAGGUGCUAAACUGUACCUUUUCUUGUCACCGGAGCUCACAGGCGCCCAUGAUUGGCUAGUGUCGCUGUGAUUGACACGGCAGAGAGGGUUCCCCUCUCCCACUCAGAUAGCACGGCCGAUUCGAUCUCUUAGACGUCCAUCCGUGGACGGCUGUGGCAUCCAUCGUCGUCUAGACGAAAGGGCGAAAGCUUUUCCGCCGCACUAAAGUUACUUUUAGACUAAAGCCUAGACUAUGGCGUCCAACUCCAGAGCGACCUUCUCACGGAGGACCGUUUUCAUCUCAGUUUAUCGUGCACGCUCCGUCUGACCGAGAUCUUCAACGGCCGGAGCGGGUGUGUAGGAUUUGUGCAGGAAGGGG